rnacentral:rRNA from 1 species
AUGAAGCUCCUGCUCCUUUACUCCUCGCUUCUGCUUCUCCUUUUGCUAUCCCCCCAGGGCCUAGCCUCUACUCAAGGUAGAGGGCCGAUGCAUUACCAGCUCAAGGAGCCAGCUUCAAAGGUGGUGGAGGGCGCGGAGGCGAUGUCGGCGGUGAGGAUCGGGUCGAGGCCGCCGCGGUGCGAGGGGAGGUGCGCCCUGUGCGGCCGGUGCGAGGCGGUGCAGGUGCCGGUGGCGCCGCGGGACAAGGGGGGGAGCCACUUCCGCCUGUCCGGGGCCUUCGGCGGCGACGACGACGAGGGCUCCACCAACUACAAGCCGCUCAACUGGAAGUGCCGGUGCGCCGACAGGAGGCCGAUCCUCAACCCGUGA